rnacentral:rRNA from 1 species
CACGUAGGGCGCGAGCGUUGUCCGGAAUUAUUGGGCGUAAAGAGCUCGUAGGCGGCCUGUUGCGUCCGCUGUGAAAGCCCGGGGCUUAACCCCGGGUCUGCAGUGGAUACGGGCAGGCUAGAGGUAGGUAGGGGAGAAUGGAAUUCCCGGUGUAGCGGUGAAAUGCGCAGAUAUCGGGAGGAACACCGGUGGCGAAAGCGGCUCACUGGACCACAACUGACGCUGAGGCGCGAAAGCUAGGGGAGCAAACAGG